CUAAAAGUCCUCCCAGAAAGCCGUCUGGUAGAGUCUCAGAGAGGGAAACUACACACAGCUUCAGGGCCUGGCAACAAUGUUGGCUCAACUGCAAACUGUUUCUCAAGUUCUGGAAGAUCUGAAAACCCGGAUUCAGACAGAUGAUUGGGCUCUUGGGGGACUGGUGGUGAUAGUUUCAUUCUUCACUGUCAUCAUUGCCCUUCUCUUGUUUGCUGCCAUCUUUGGGUGCUGCUCAGCUCCGAGGAAUAAAUAAAAUCCCAAUUAAAACAGCAUGAACAGCCUGGACUUCUGAAUUUCAAGAAUGCAAUAUUGUAAUCAGCUCACACAGAAUGACGAAGCAGUGAAGAAGAUUGUUGCUUCUUGUGUCCUCUAUUUCACAUGUACUAAAAUUACAGAGGAAAUUGCUGCCAAGGACACUAACAAACGUACAUAACUAGCUAUUAUGUGAGGAAUUAAGCCAAAUUCAAUGUGCAUUACAGAACCAACUAUCCACCAAACAUUGGAUUCAAGGAUUUCUUUUGCAAAGGAAGCUUGGUCAAAUUGCCAUCUUUUCACAAAAAAAUAAAAUUUGAACUUUAAAGAUUCAGAAGGCAGCAGAGUUCAAUACACUGGUAGACUGGAUAUACAUCAUUCAAAUCACCUCCUGCAUCACCAGAAUUACUAAAAGCAAACACAAUUUUCAAGAAAAUUGUACAUUUGUCUUCCUUAUCUUCCAGCAGUAUAUUUAAUUUAGCCAUGUACAUAUUAUUCUAAAACUGGGCUAAACACUGAUUGGCCCCCAAUUUCCAAUUAAACAUUAUUUUAAUUAAUUGGUGGUGGUUGUCAACAGAACCAUCAAUCCUCUUCCUUUAAAUAUAACUCUGCCAUUUACAAAACCUAAUAAUAUAGACAAAUGUUCAAGUAGAACUAGAUAGCCUGUAAUUUCUUCUUGUGUUCCAAUUACAUGCACACACCCCACUCCACAUUUGAUUUUAUGCACAUAAUUCAUUUAAUCUUCCAAAUUAUUAUUAAGGCAGGGUCAAAAAGUGUCUCCCUGAUUUUCAGGCACCUUCAUAAUCACUAAAACAAGUACCUCCCCACACACUUUCUGCAUUUUUUAAUGGGACACUGUAAAAAGGCUGCAAAACAUUUGAUAAUAAUGAUCUUCAAUUGCCUACAGUCAUUUAUGUAAACAUCUGUAACCAGUAUCUAUAUAUUUAAUUCUCUUAGCUGGCAUGCGUGUCCUGAAUUUGGCGGAGGAACUCUUGUGAGAGCUCUUGGCAUUGGGCGAGAAUUCAAAAAAUAAAUAAAUGGUGGCGGAUGGUG